UAGGAAUAUACUACAUAUGUAUGUGAAAGUGCUUUUAACAGUGUUUUGUGUUCUUGUGCAUAUAAAUCCUUUUUGGCAUUCACAGCGGGUGAACACAUCUUUAAUUUUCUUCUUGAAAACAUUUCAUUCAAACUGUGAUUGUCGUCGGUACGCGAAUUUUGUAAGAACAACAUGAUUUUUAUGCAAAUUCGUUUAUUUUAACGUUGGCAUUAAGUUGUUUGCUCUUCCCCGCUUGCCGAAUGCUGAUGGUACUAUUUUUCAUAAGCCCUAUUUAGACUUCAAAACAGGCCAGCAAUUUUAAUGUCUAACAAUUCGCAGAAAUACAAUACAAACAAAAUGGAAAUAAAAUCUAAUUAAACUAACAGACUGAUGUUACAGCAACUUAAAUCAAAAUAGAAAAAAUCAUCAUAACAACUGGUAGUAAAUCACAAAAAUCAACAACAAAAAAAUUCCCAUAAAUAUAUUAAAAACAAAUGAGCAGCAGAAACGUUAGAAAAUCUAUAUAGUUUAAAAAAGAAAACAAAAACAAAUCAUUAAAAAUACAUGUAACUAAAUAUAAAUUAAAGUUGAAGAAACAUUUUUAAUAGCAACAUUUCCAGUCAACAUUGUUGUAGAGCAACAUGUUGCUCUAAAUCGUAAAAAAAGAAAAACAAAUUCCAAUAUGAAAUUUCUUCUUUUUUUUGUCAGCUGUAUACAAAAGAU